UACGGAGGGUGCAAGCGUUGUUCGGAUUGAUUGGGCGUAAAGCGCUCGUAGGCGGGUUUAUAAGUCGAAUGUGAAAGCCCCGGGCUUAACCUGGGAAUUGCAUCCGAAACUAUAAAUCUUGAAUACUCGAGAGGUUGGUAGAAUUCCUGGUGUAGGAGUGAAAUCCGUAGAUAUCAGGAGGAACACCGGAGGCGAAGGCGGCCGGCUGGCGAUGUAUUGACGCUGAGGAGCGAAAGCGUGGGGAGCGAACAGG
rnacentral:rRNA from 1 species